rnacentral:pre_miRNA from 1 species
GCCUUCAAUUUCUACAGCAGCAAAUAAUGAUUUGCACCUUGAGCAGAGCAUGCAAACCAUGAUGUGCUGCUACAGCACUUCAAGGC